rnacentral:rRNA from 1 species
GGGGGGGGGGGGGGGGGGGGGUAAGACGUGCAGGGCGAGCGGAGAGGCCCUGCUUUUGGGGGGUGCUCGAGUGGCGAACGGGUGAGUAACACGUGAGUAACCUGCCCUUGACUUUGGGAUAACUUCAGGAAACUGGGGCUAAUACCGGAUAGGAGCUCCUGCUGCAUGGUGGGGGUUGGAAAGUUUCGGCGGGUGGGGAUGGACUCGCGGCUUAUCAGCUUGUUGGUGGGGUAGUGGCUUACCAAGGCUUUGACGGGUAGCCGGCCUGAGAGGGUGACCGGCCACAUUGGGACUGAGAUACGGCCCAGACUCCUACGGGAGGCAGCAGUGGGGAAUAUUGCACAAUGGGCGGAAGCCUGAUGCAGCAACGCCGCGUGCGGGAUGACGGCCUUCGGGUUGUAAACCGCUUUCGCCUGUGACGAAGCGUGAGUGACGGUAAUGGGUAAAGAAGCACCGGCUAACUACGUG